rnacentral:rRNA from 6 species
CCUUGACCUCAAAUCGGGUGAGACUACCCGCUGAACUUAAGCAUAUCAUA